UAGGGAAUCUUCCGCAAUGGACGAAAGUCUGACGGAGCAACGCCGCGUGAGCGAAGAAGGUCUUCGGAUCGUAAAGCUCUGUUGUUAGGGAAGAACAAGUAUCGUUCGAAUAGGGCGGUACCUUGACGGUACCUAACCAGAAAGCCACGGCUAACUACGUGCCAGCAGCCGCGGUAAUACGUAGGUGGCAAGCGUUAUCCGGAAUUAUUGGGCGUAAAGCGCGCGCAGGCGGUCCUUUAAGUCUGAUGUGAAAGCCCACGGCUCAACCGUGGAGGGUCAUUGGAAACUGGGGGACUUGAGUGCAGAAGAGGAGAGCGGAAUUCCACGUGUAGCGGUGAAAUGCGUAGAGAUGUGGAGGAACACCAGUGGCGAAGGCGGCUCUCUGGUCUGUAACUGACGCUGAGGCGCGAAAGCGUGGGGAGCGAACAG
rnacentral:rRNA from 1 species